AUUGAACGCUGGCGGCAUGCCUUACACAUGCAAGUCGAACGGUAACGCGGGGCAACCUGGCGACGAGUGGCGAACGGGUGAGUAAUGCAUCGGAACGUGCCUGGUAGUGGGGGAUAACUGCUCGAAAGAGCAGCUAAUACCGCAUACGACCUGAGGGUGAAAGGGGGGGAUCGCAAGACCUCUCGCUAUCAGAGCGGCCGAUGUCGGAUUAGCUAGUUGGUGGGGUAAAGGCCCACCAAGGCAACGAUCCGUAGCUGGUCUGAGAGGACGACCAGCCACACUGGGACUGAGACACGGCCCAGACUCCUACGGGAGGCAGCAGUGGGGAAUUUUGGACAAUGGACGCAAGUCUGAUCCAGCAAUGCCGCGUGCGGGAAGAAGGCCUUCGGGUUGUAAACCGCUUUUGUUAGGGAAGAAAUCCCCUGGGCUAAUACCUUGGGGGGAUGACGGUACCUGAAGAAUAAGCACCGGCUAACUACGUGCCAGCCGCCGCAGUAACAC
rnacentral:rRNA from 1 species